UGCUCCCUGAUGUUAGCGGCGGACGGGUGAGUAACACGUGGGUAACCUGCCUGUAAGACUGGGAUAACUCCGGGAAACCGGGGCUAAUACCGGAUGCUUGUUUGAACCGCAUGGUUCAAACAUAAAAGGUGGCUUCGGCUACCACUUACAGAUGGACCCGCGGCGCAUUAGCUAGUUGGUGAGGUAAUGGCUCACCAAGGCAACGAUGCGUAGCCGACCUGAGAGGGUGAUCGGCCACACUGGGACUGAGACACGGCCCAGACUCCUACGGGAGGCAGCAGUAGGGAAUCUUCCGCAAUGGACGAAAGUCUGACGGAGCAACGCCGCGUGAGUGAUGAAGGUUUUCGGAUCGUAAAGCUCUGUUGUUAGGGAAGAACAAGUACCGUUCGAAUAGGGCGGUACCUUGACGGUACCUAACCAGAAAGCCACGGCUAACUACGUGCCAGCAGCCGCGGUAAUACGUAGGUGGCAAGCGUUGUCCGGAAUUAUUGGGCGU
rnacentral:rRNA from 1 species